rnacentral:rRNA from 1 species
UGGGGAAUAUUGCGCAAUGGGCGAAAGCCUGACGCAGCGACGCCGCGUGAGGGAUGAAGGUUUUCGGAUCGUAAACCUCUGUCAGAAGGGAAGAAACCGCACUGUGCUAAUCAGCAGUGCCUUGACGGUACCUUCAAAGGAAGCACCGGCUAACUCCGUGCCAGCAGCCGCGGUAAUACGGAGGGUGCAAGCGUUAAUCGGAAUUACUGGGCGUAAAGCGCACGUAGGCUGCUUUGUAAGUCAGGGGUGAAAUCCCACGGCUCAACCGUGGAACUGCCUUUGAUACUGCUUAGCUUGAAUCCGGGAGAGGGUGGCGGAAUUCCAGGUGUAGGAGUGAAAUCCGUAGAUAUCUGGAGGAACAUCAGUGGCGAAGGCGGCCACCUAGACCGGUAUUGACGCUGAGGUGCGAAAGCGUGGGGAGCAAACAGG